CCCUUAGAUGUCCUGGGCCGCACGCGUGCUACACUGAUGCAUUCAACGAGUCUAAAACCUGGUCUGAUAGGGCUGGGUAAUCUUUUGAAAGUGCAUCGUGAUUGGGAUAGAUGAUUGCAAUUCUUCAUCUUCAACGAGGAAUGCCUAGUAAACGCAAGUCAUCAGCUUGCAUUGAUUACGUCCCUGCCCUUUGUACACACCGCCCGUCGCUCCUACCGAUUGAAUGAUCCGAUGAAUAUCAUGGAUUGAGAGUACGAAUGGGUUCGCUCAUUUCUGCUGCUCGAGAAGUGAAGUAAAUCUUAUCAUUUAGAGGAAGGAGAAGUCGUAACA
rnacentral:rRNA from 1 species